rnacentral:lncRNA from 1 species
GAGGUCAUUUGCAUAAUGUUGUGGCCUAUAGUAGGUUCUCAAUAAAUACCUGAUGGAUGAAUGAAUGAAUAAGGACGAGGAAAUGAACACGCUAGGUAUGCCUGGAUCUGAAGCAGAAGUGGCCCAAAAAUGCAAGGAAAAGAAACUUGGCAGGAAUAGCAGGAAGAAGAAAGGGGGGAGGACAGUAUUGUGUGAGUUUGCUAGGGCUGUGUAACAAAGUGAUAGAAACCUGAUGUCUCCCGCAACAGACAUUUAUUGUCUCACAGUCUUGGAGGCCGGAGUGCAAGAUCAAGUUGUGAGUGGAGCUGGUUCCUUCUGUGGGCUGUGAGGAAGAAUCUGUCGCAGGCCUCUCUCCCAGCCUCUGCUGACUCGCUGGCAGUCUCUGGUGUCCCCUGGCUUGGAGUAUCGACAGCAUAGCUGGCCCACCUUUGAGUAUGACCGGGCCCGGGCCAAACAGCGGGGGCGUGGAACCAGACUGCUGUGCUGUGCCAGUGGAGACUUUUGGAACUGAGGACAGCUGAAUGAGAGGUAGAGUGGUGCUAGGGUUCACCAGCACGUGUGCCCCAAACCUGCGGGGAGGGCCCCUUUCUUCUGUCUCUCUCUUUAACCUGUGUCACUCUGUCCCUU